GUGCUCAUUUCAGCAAUACACAUACUAAAAUUGGAACCAAACAGAAUUCUAGCAUGGACCCUGCACAAAUAUGACAUGCAGUAAUCUGAAAUGUCACAUAUUUUU